rnacentral:rRNA from 1 species
UGGACCCCCGCUUACUUAAGCAUAUCAAUAAGCGGAGGAAAAGAAACCAACAGGGAUUGCCCUAGUAACGGCGAGUGAAGCGGCAACAGCUCAAAUUUGAAAUCUGGCCUCCUCUGGGGGUCCGAGUUGUAAUUUGCAGAGGGUGCUUUGGCAUGGGCGGCGGUCUAAGUUCCUUGGAACAGGACAUCGCAGAGGGUGAGAAUCCCGUACGUGGGCGCCUGCCUUUGCCGUGUAAAGCCCCUUCGACGAGUCGAGUUGUUUGGGAAUGCAGCUCUAAAUGGGAGGUAAAUUUCUUCUAAAGCUAAAUACCGGCCAGAGACCGAUAGCGCACAAGUAGAGUGAUCGAAAGAUGAAAAGUACUUUGGAAAGAGAGUCAAAUAGCACGUGAAAUUGUUGAAAGGGAAGCGCUUGCAGCCAGACGUGCCCGCAGUUGCUCACCCCGGCUUUUGCCUGGGGCACUCUUCUGCGGGCAGGCCAGCAUCAGUUUGGGCGGUCGGAUAAAGGCCUCUGUCAAGUAUCUUCCUUCGGGAUGACCUUAUAGGGGAGGCGCAAUGCGACCAGCCCGGACUGAGGUCCGCGCAUCUGCUAGGAUGCUGGCGUAAUGGCUGUAAGCGGCCCGUCUUGAAACACGGACCAAGGAGUCUAACAUCUAUGCGAGUGUUUGGGUGUCAAGCCCGGGCGCGCAAUGAAAGUGAACGGAGGUGGGAUCCCUUCGGGGUGCACCAUCGACCGAUCCUGAUGUCUUCGGAUGGAUUUGAGUAAGAGCAUAGCUGUUGGGACCCGAAAGAUGGUGAACUAUGCUUGAAUAGGGUGAAGCCAGAGGAAACUCUGGUGGAGGCUCGCAGCGGUUCUGACGUGCAAAUCGAUCGUCAAAUUUGGGCAUAGGGGCGAAAGACUAAUCGAACCAUCU